rnacentral:rRNA from 1 species
GACGAACGCUGGCGGCGUGCCUAAUACAUGCAAGUAGAACGCACAGUUUAUACCGUAGCUUGCUACACCAUAGACUGUGAGUUGCGAACGGGUGAGUAACGCGUAGGUAACCUGCCUGGUAGCGGGGGAUAACUAUUGGAAACGAUAGCUAAUACCGCAUAAUAUUAAUUAUUGCAUGAUAAUUAAUUGAAAGGUGCAAUUGCACCACUACCAGAUGGACCUGCGUUGUAUUAGCUAGUAGGUGAGGUAACGGCUCACCUAGGCGACGAUACAUAGCCGACCUGAGAGGGUGAUCGGCCACACUGGGACUGAGACACGGCCCAGACUCCUACGGGAGGCAGCAGUAGGGAAUCUUCGGCAAUGGACGAAAGUCUGACCGAGCAACGCCGCGUGAGUGAAGAAGGUUUUCGGAUCGUAAAGCUCUGUUGUAAGGGAAGAACGGGUGUGAGAGUGGAAAGUUCACACUGUGACGGUAUCUUACCAGAAAGGAACGGCUAAUUACGU